GUUUUGGGGAUGUACUAUCGUGCU
rnacentral:piRNA from 1 species